rnacentral:lncRNA from 1 species
AGCUCUUUUCAUGUUCAUGUUAUAAAUACGAGACUGAGACUUGAAUAGUAAAGCCAGGUAUGCUUGAAUGAAUAAACAAUUUUGUGCUUGCUAAUAAUUUAAAGGGAAAUCCAACCAUGAGAAUUGAGAUGAAGUGGCUUAAUUUCAGCAAAUGCAGAAAAAUGAAGCAAAUACAUUUCAUGUUUCUUCCCGGUUUUACCAGUAGAAUAGCCGGCUGAGAGGACCAUCACUAGCACUCCCAUUGGCUGAUGUCUAAGUAGGAGUUUGACGUGGAGAGCUUUAAGCAUGUUGUUGAGUUUACCAGUAGAAUAGACAGCUGGGAUACGCAAGAGAUGAGGGACCACUAGCACCCCCAGUGGUUGAUGUCCAUUUACAUGUAGGAGUUUGUGCAGCUGAUGUGGAGAGCUUUUAGCAAAUUGACAAGCAUCUUCACCCUCUGCCCUUGAACUGAUUGCUUUUCCAAUACCACGGUUUGGAGGUCAGACCAAACGACUGACAGACCGACCGAUUGAAUAGCUAAGUCCCCUCAGUCAUCAAAGGAUGGACAAAAAUACAGAAGUUAUUGUUAGGUGGGAUCGUGAUGGAGAGAUCAAUUGUGGCAAGAAACGAGAUCUUCGAUAUAAUGGAAGGCUUAGGGUGGGUUCAAGAGUCACUAUGAGCUAGAUGGAUGUGGACUGGACGGGGACUGCAACGCUGACAGGAGACUCUGACUCCGAAUGUGCCUCCAUUUAGAGGUUUUGUGGUCUAGUGGAUAAGUCGUUGGACUGUGGAUCACAGGAUCCAUGGUUCAAGUCCCGCCACAGCAGUAAUGUCUUUUGGCAAGAUAUUAAUCUACAU